GUUGGACACUGCGUGCAGUGCCCUUGAUAUUGGAGAUGCCUCAUGGCUCUUAGCGUUGAAGACAAAGCUCAAAUCGUUGCCGACUACCAGCAAGCCGUU
rfam:Pseudomonas rhizosphaerae strain DSM 16299, complete genome.